UAAAAACGUAAUUUAGCAUAAAUUAGCCAGAUAAGCUAAUGUUAGCAAAUUAGCUGAAAGGAAUGAAAAGGACUUUUGCCACAUGGAAAAUUCAGAACUGGAAGAAGUGCAAGAGAAAUGAAGAUGUUUUCUAGUUGAGGAGCACAUGGGCAAUUGAAGAGCAUGUCAAAACGAAGAGCCAGACUUAGUCCUGAGGCUGAGGCUAUUCAUUUUAUUAUUUCUGGAAGUGACAAGCCUUGUAUAAAGUCAAAUGGAUCAAUGACUAUAAAGGACGUGGUGUAUUUGCCUCAGCACCAAUUGAAAAGGGG